CAAGGAUUCCCCUAGUAACGGCGAGUGAAGAGGGAUAAGCUCAAAUUUGAAAUCGGGCGGCUUAAGGUCGUCCGAGUUGUAAUCUAGAGAAGUGUUUUCCGCGCUGGACCGUGUACAAGUCCCUUGGAACAGGGCGUCAUAGAGGGUGAGAAUCCCGUCUACGACACGGACUACCAGUGCUUUGUGAUACACUCUCAACGAGUCGAGUUGUUUGGGAAUGCAGCUCAAAACGGGUGGUAAAUUCCAUCUAAAGCUAAAUACAGGCGAAAGACCGAUAGCGAACAAGUACCGUGAGGGAAAGAUGAAAAGCACUUUGGAAAGAGAGUUAAACAGUACGUGAAAUUGUUGAAAGGGAAACGCUUGAAGUCAGUCGCGUCUUCAGAAAUUCAGCUUGGCUUUUGCCUGGUGUACUUUUCUGUUGGACGGGCCAGCAUCGGUUUCGGCCGCCAGAAAAAGGUGGGAGGAAGGUGGCACCUCCGGGUGUGUUAUAGCCUCUCAUCGUAUGUGGCGGCUGGGACUGAGGACCGCAGCACGCCUUUAAUGGCCGGGGUUCGCCCACGUAACGUGCUUAGGAUGCUGGCGUAAUGGCUUUAAACGACCCGUCUUGAAACACGGACCAAGGAGUCUAACAUGCCUGCGAGUAUUUGGGUGGUAAACCCAUAUGCGGAAUGAAAGUGACUAGUUGGGACUUCUGUCAUGGAAGGCACCGACGCCCGGACCAGACCUAUUGUGACGGAUCCGAGGUAGAGCAUGUAUGUUGGGACCCGAAAGAUGGUGAACUAUGCCUGAGUAGGGUGAAGCCAGAGGAAACUCUGGUGGAGGCUCGUAGCGAUUCUGACGUGCAAAUCGAUCGUCGAACUUGGGUAUAGGGGCGAAAGACUAAUCGAACCA
rnacentral:rRNA from 1 species